GACCUCAAAUCAGGUAGGACUACCCGCUGAACUUAAGCAUAUCAAUAAGCGGAGGAAAAGAAACUAACAAGGAUUCCCCUAGUAACUGCGAGUGAAGCGGGAAAAGCUCAAAUUUAAAAUCUGGCAGUCUUGGCUGUCCGAGUUGUAAUCUAGAGAAGUAUUAUCCGCGCUGGAC
rnacentral:rRNA from 1 species